UGUGAGUGGUGUUUGGGAUGUGUGUGUCGGCAGGCUCCGUGCUUUACGCAUCGAACUGACGGCCCUCAUCCCACUUCAUUCUUCCCCCCUCCCCCCGCGGUCUCUGUGCCCGGGGGGAGCAAUCGGGAUCCUGUGCUGCUUACCUAUAUCGAUGGAAUUCGGAUGUCGUGCCGUCCCUCGUCCGUCUCGCGACCUUGCGGUCCGCGCGGCGGAUUUCGUUCACGCCCGGUGUUCCAAGUGCGCCCCCGAAUGUGGUGCGGCCGCCUUGGGGCAGCGGUGCAUGGUUUUGCUUACGGAUGCGGAAAGUUUCGUGGGUUUGGGGCCAUGCCCCCUUUAGUCGGAUGCGAUGCGAUUUGUCCCUCGAGGUGUACGACGCUCGGUUCCCGUCUUGGACUCUCCGCUGCCUGUGUGGUGCGUUGAGGCCCAUGCGGUGCCGACGUCGAG
rnacentral:misc_RNA from 2 species